AGUGAACGCUGGCGGUAGGCCUAACACAUGCAAGUCGAACGGCAGCACAGUAAGAGCUUGCUCUUACGGGUGGCGAGUGGCGGACGGGUGGGGAAUACAUCGGAAUCUACUUUUUCGUGGGGGAUAACGUAGGGAAACUUACGCUAAUACCGCAUACGACCUACGGGUGAAAGCAGGGGAUCUUCGGACCUUGCGCGAUUGAAUGAGCCGAUGUCGGAUUAGCUAGUUGGCGGAGUAAAGGCCCACCAAGGCGACGAUCCGUAGCUGGUCUGAGAGGAUGAUCAGCCACACUGGAACUGAGACACGGUCCAGACUCCUACGGGAGGCAGCAGUGGGGAAUAUUGGACAAUGGGCGCAAGCCUGAUCCAGCCAUACCGCGUGGGUGAAGAAGGCCUUCGGGUUGUAAAGCCCUUUUGUUGGGAAAGAAAAGCAGCAGGUUAAUACCCCGCUGUUCUGACGGUACCCAAAGAAUAAGCACCGGCUAACUUCGUG
rnacentral:rRNA from 1 species